GACGAACGCUGGCGGCGUGCUUAACACAUGCCAGUCGAACGGAAAGGCCCUGCUUUUGUGGGGUGCUCGAGUGGCGAACGGGUGAGUAACACGUGAGUAACCUGCCCUUGACUUUGGGAUAACUUCAGGAAACUGGGGCUAAUACCGGAUAGGAGCUCCUGCUGCAUGGUGGGGGUUGGAAAGUUUCGGCGGUUGGGGAUGGACUCGCGGCUUAUCAGCUUGUUGGUGGGGUAGUGGCUUACCAAGGCUUUGACGGGUAGCCGGCCUGAGAGGGUGACCGGCCACAGUGGGACUGAGAUACGGCCCAGACUCCUACGGGGGGCAGCAGUGGGGAAUAUUGCACAAUGGGCGGAAGCCUGAUGCAGCAACGCCGCGUGCGGGAUGACGGCCUUCGGGUUGUAAACCGCUUUCGCCUGUGACGAAGCGUGAGUGACGGUAAUGGGUAAAGAAGCACCGGCUAACUACGUG
rnacentral:rRNA from 1 species